rnacentral:lncRNA from 1 species
AAUAUAUCGUCGCUGUUAUGCAAAAACCUCGUAUCUAAGGUUUUGAUAAUUUUACACCAGGCAGUAAAAUCUGAAAUCUUUUUUCGAUUAUUUAGAAUUUAAUAUGUAUGUUCCGCUGUAUGCGAAAAUAUCUGAUCUUCUAACCAAUCAAUUACCAAGACGAGCAAAAAUUUCUGCACCUAUAUUGUAUUUUCAUUAUUUUUAAGCUAAUAUAUUAGCUUUGAGAACCUAAAAUUGAUAAAACUGUACCUGUAAUAAUGUCAGCUGCCGUGCAAAUUUUUUUUCUUUUGAGAUACGAUAUUUUUGCACAACAAAAUGUCUCACCAAUCCGACUACACUUUUUCGUCACAUGUCAGAAUUCGGGUUGAUGAUUGGUUAGAAGGUCAGAUAUUUUCGCAUAUAGUGGAACAUACAUAUUUAAUUCUAAAUAAUCGAUAAAAAGAUUUCCGCAAAAUAUUGAGAUACGAGGUUUUUGCAUAACAGCGACGAUAUAAUU